rnacentral:rRNA from 1 species
AACGAACGCUGGCGGCAUGCCUAACACAUGCAAGUCGAACGGGAUCCUAGCUUGCUAGGUGAGAGUGGCGGACGGGUGAGUAACACGUGGGAAUCUGCCUUUUGGUUCGGGAUAACCGCGGGAAACUGCGGCUAAUACCGAAUGCCCUCGAGAGAGGAAAGAUUUAUCGCCAGAAGAGGAGCCCGCGUCCGAUUAGGUAGUUGGUGGGGUAAAGGCCUACCAAGCCGACGAUCGGUAGCUGGUCUGAGAGGAUGAUCAGCCACACUGGGACUGAGACACGGCCCAAACUCCUACGGGAGGCAGCAGUGGGGAAUCUUGCGCAAUGGGCGAAAGCCUGACGCAGCCAUGCCGCGUGAAUGAUGAAGGUCUUAGGAUUGCAAAAAUUCUUUCACCGGGGACGAUAAUGACGGUACCCGGAGAAGAAGCCCCGGCUAACUUCGUGCCAGCAGCCGCGGUAU